rnacentral:rRNA from 1 species
UUUAUGGAGAGUUUGAUCCUGGCUCAGGAUGAACGCUGGCGGCGUGCCUAAUACAUGCAAGUCGAGCGAACAGAUAAGGAGCUUGCUCCUUUGACGUUAGCGGCG